rnacentral:rRNA from 1 species
GAUGAACGCUGGCGGCGUGCCUAAUACAUGCAAGUCGAGCGAACAGAUGAGGAGCUUGCUCCUCUGACGUUAGCGGCGGACGGGUGAGUAACACGUGGAUAACCUACCUAUAAGACUGGGAUAACUUCGGGAAACCGGAGCUAAUACCGGAUAAUAUAUUUAACCGCAUGGUUCAAUAGUGAAAGACGGUUUUGCUGUCACUUAUAGAUGGAUCCGCGCCGCAUUAGCUAGUUGGUAAGGUAACGGCGUACCAAGGCAACGAUGCGUAGCCGACCUGAGAGGGUGAUCGGCCACACUGGAACUGAGACACGGUCCAGACUCCUACGGGAGGCAGCAGUAGGGAAUCUUCCGCAAUGGGCGAAAGCCUGACGGAGCAACGCCGCGUGAGUGAUGAAGGUCUUCGGAUCGUAAAACUCUGUUAUUAGGGAAGAACAAAUGUGUAAGUAACUAUGCACGUCUUGACGGUACCUAAUCAGAAAGCCACGGCUAACUACGUG